rnacentral:lncRNA from 1 species
GGUUUGGUUGCUUGAAUUCGCAUAACAGGUUGGUUAGGAAUAUGAAAGCUAACAACCUUACAAAAAGCAUGAUGAGUAGUUAACCAAUCGAUUCCUAAAAUCACAUCAAAGGCAAUUAUUUUCAAAGAGAUAAGAUCGACAAGUAACGUGAAAGUGUCGAUUUGAAUCAACAAGAUUUAUAAACAGUGGAGGUAACGAAGGUUUCUACUA